UACAGAGGGUGCGAGCGUUAAUCGGAAUUACUGGGCGUAAAGCGCACGUAGGUGGCGACGUAAGUCGGGUGUGAAAGCCCCGGGCUCAACCUGGGAAUUGCAUUCGAGACUGCAUUGCUGGAGUACGGAAGAGGAAGGCGGAAUUCCCGGUGUAGCGGUGAAAUGCGUAGAUAUCUGGAGGAACACCGGUGGCGAAGGCGGCAUCCUGGACCGACACUGACACUGAGGAGCGAAAGCCAGGGGAGCAAACGGG
rnacentral:rRNA from 1 species